CGUGCGCGUGGGUGUUGGUCGCUCCAGACCUCGCCGGCGCCGGAUCUUCCUCGCUGCAUGGCUGGCGCGGUACGUCGGCGGCGCUUCCAGGCCCCCCAAUACCCCCUCCCCUCAGCACGACGAUGGCCGCACCUCGUCCAUCCCUCUCUCUCUCUCACUCGCUCUCUCGGCGCGACGGUGACUCCAUCCUCCUCGGGCGCGACAGUUGAGUACCUCCGUUGUACUCCGAGAUGAUGCAUCAUUAUCCGUAUGCGAGAGGCGGCAUCGUGACCAAGUUCCUGGUUUUCAAAACUACAGUGCAUGAGCGCUUGAGUUGUUGCGGGUUCAGAUCUUCAACUCCUAGAAGACAUACUGUACUGAAAGUUCAGAGAUUGUGCAAAUUUAUGAAAUAUUCAGAACUGCAUUCUGCAAUCGAGAGAAAAGUGG